ensembl:miRNA aca-mir-9575 aca-mir-9575
CUCUACAGUCCUUCUCAAAAUGGAAACAGGAAAUAGAGUCAGAUCACUUCUUGUUGUCAUUUUGAGAUGAACUUUAUAGAA